CUUACAUUCAUAAAUCUAGUAUUAAGUCAGGGAAUUAGGAUACAAGCCCACCUCUUUCCGAACUCUAAUUUCCAAAUUUUUAAGCCAUUUCUUAUAAAUGACUUCAAAUAUACCAGUUCUGACCCUCCUCAUUCCUAGACCUUAGGUUUGUUCCUCACCCCGCUUUCCAUAGGCACAGGAGUCGUGCUUUAUGAAUGAGAGAUCCGUUAUCUUUUCAGUUGCUGACUCUGAGUACAGAGUAAACCGGAACUUCUCCCCGACCCCUGUCAUUCAUUCAAGGAACAGAAGAUGUUUUCGAUCAAAUAUUUAUUCUAGUAAGUCAACUGAAUUUUUAGAGUACCAAUUUCUUCAGAUUCAAGGAACAUGAAGCAUCAGAUUGAAUGAAACCUUCCAAGGCCUUUCAGAAGUGUCUCGAAGUCUCCAACAACUGCAUCCAGCUACUCAUCAUUAUCAAGUUCCAAGAAAUGAGGGAUGAAAAUAAAACAUAUAGUGAAGAGAAGUCUUAUGUGCACAGUCUUUUGAAUGUUACCCAGCCAUAUAAGAAGAGACCAUGGGCCUGGAACGCUUCCUCAACAAGAGAUAAAGAGCCUGCACAUGUGUGUCAAUGGUCCUUAGACACACCCUCAGCUUCAGCAUUUCAGAUUCCAUGCAGUGUGAGUCAAGGUCUUUGUACUGUGGUUUUAGAGGCGUGCACGUAGGGUAGUUGUUCUGAGUUGUGGGGGGCACCAACCAUGGGAGAUCUAUGCAUGCAAUAGGGAUUUGUCUCCCUCUGUUUUGUGUACAUGAGUAAAAGUACUCUUCCAUCCCGUGAUUGACUGUGUUGUGUUUACCGUGGUGACUCUAAUAUCAAGAUGAAUUGGACAGAAGUAUUUGGACUUCUGGUACUGGUGGUUGACAUAAAACUUUGCAUGAAGAACACUGGCCUCUAACUAAAGGUAUGUCAGUCAUAUUCAAAGAAAUAUAGCAAAAAUAAAUCUGCAUCUCAAGUAGGAUAAUAAUCUCAGGUUAAAUCGAGUUGUUUUUAAUAUUAU
rnacentral:lncRNA from 1 species